CCUACGGGAGGCUGCAGUGGGGAAUAUUGCACCAUGGAGGGAACUCUGAUGCCGCGACGCCGCGUGAGUGAAGAAGUAAUUCGUUAUGUAACGCUCUAUCUGCCGGGAAGAAAGUGACGGUACCUGAAAAAGAAUCUCCGGCUAACUACGUGCCACCAGCCGCGGUAAUACGUAUGGAGCAGGCGUUAUCCGGAUUUACUGGGUGUAAAGGGUGAGUAGGUGGCAGGGCAAGUACGAAGUGAAAACCUAAAGGUCAACCAUGGGAAUGCAUUAGAAACGGCUCAGCUAGAGUGCAGGAGAGGCAAGAGGAAUUCUUAGUGUAGCGGUGAAAUGCGUAGAUAUUAGGAGGAACACCAGUGGCGAAGGCGGCGUGCUGGACUGUAACUGACACUGAGGCUCGAAAGCGUGGGGAGCAAACAGGAUUAGAUACCCUUGUAGUC
rnacentral:rRNA from 1 species